rnacentral:rRNA from 1 species
AACGAACGCUGGCGGCAGGCUUAACACAUGCAAGUCGAACGCACCUUUCGGGGUGAGUGGCAGACGGGUGAGUAACGCGUGGGAAUCUACCCUUCUCUACGGGAUAGCUCCGGGAAACUGGAAUUAAUACCGUAUACGUCCUGAGGGGGAAAGAUUUAUCGGGGAAGGAUGAGCCCGCGUUGGAUUAGCUAGUUGGUGGGGUAAAGGCCUACCAAGGCGACGAUCCAUAGCUGGUCUAAGAGGAUGAUCAGCCACAUUGGGACUGAGACACGGCCCAAACUCCUACGGGAGGCAGCAGUGGGGAAUAUUGGACAAUGGGCGCAAGCCUGAUCCAGCCAUGCCGCGUGAGUGAUGAAGGCCCUAGGGUUGUAAAGCUCUUUCAGUGGGGACGUUAAUGACGGUACCCACAGAAGAAGCCCCGGCUAACUUCGUG